GACGAACGCUGGCGGCGUGCCUAAUACAUGCAAGUCGAACGCAGUGGGGACGGGUGAGUAACACGUGGGUAACCUCCCAUCAGAGGGGAUAACACUUGGAAACAGGUGCUAAACCGAUACUGAUGGAUGGACCCGCGGUGCAUUAGCUAGUUGGUGAGGUAACGGCUCACCAAUGCCACGAUGCAUAGCCAGACCAAGAGGGUGUACGGCCACACGGGGACGGGUACACGACCAAGGUUCAGACGGGAGGCGGCAGGGGGGAAUCUUCGGCAAUGGACGAAAGUCUGACCGGGCAACGCAGCGUGAGGGAAGAAGUUUUUCGGAUCGUAAAACUCUGUUGUUAGAGAAGCGGUAUCUAACCAGAAAGCCACGGCUAACUACGUGCCAGCCGCCGCGGUAAUAC
rnacentral:rRNA from 1 species